rnacentral:rRNA from 1 species
AUUGAACGCUGGCGGCAGGCCUAACACAUGCAAGUCGAGCGAGCGGCGGACGGGUGAGUAAUGUCUGUGAAACUGCCUGAUGGAGGGGGAUAACUACUGGAAACGGUAGCUAAUACCCCAUACCAUCAGAUGUGCCCCGAUGGGCUUAGCUGGUAGGUGGGGUAACGGCUCACCUGGGCGACGAUCCCUAGCUGGUCUGAGAGGAUGACCAGCAACACUGGAACUGAGACACGGUCCAGAAGCCUACGGGAGGCAGCAGUGGGGAAUAUUGCACAAUGGGCGCAAGCCUGAUGCAGCCAUGCCGCGUGUGUGAAGAAGGCCUUCGGGUUGUAAAGCACUUUCAGCGGGGAGGCGUUACCCGCAGAAGAAGCACCGGCUAACUCCGUGCCAGCAGCCGCGGUAAUAC